rnacentral:tRNA from 1 species
GCCGGUGUAGCUCAGGGGUAGAGCAACGGUUUUGUAAACCGUAGGUCGUUGGUUCGAAUCCUACCGCCGGCUCCA